CCUACGGGAGGCAGCAGUGAGGAAUAUUGGUCAAUGGUCGGGAGACUGAACCAGCCAAGCCGCGUGAGGGAUGAAGGUACAGAGUAUCGUAAACCUCUUUUGUCAGGGAACAAAGGCGGGGACGCGUCCCCGGAUGAGUGUACCUGAAGAAAAAGCAUCGGCUAACUCCGUGCCAGCAGCCGCGGUAAUACGGAGGAUGCGAGCGUUAUCCGGAUUUAUUGGGUUUAAAGGGUGCGCAGGGGGGCUUUUAAGUCAGAUGUGAAAGCCUGGGGCGCAACCCCGGAACUGCCUUGGAAACUGGCAGUCUCGAGUUGGAGAGAGGUAGGCGGAAUGCGCGGUGUAGCGGUGAAAUGCAUAGAGAUCGCGCAGAACUCCGAUUGCGAAGGCAGCAUGCCGGCUCCACACUGACGCUGAGGCACGAAAGCGUGGGUAUCGAACAGGAUUAGAUACCCCAGUAGUC
rnacentral:rRNA from 1 species